rnacentral:tRNA from 2 species
UCCUGGUCAGCUCACUUGGUAGUGCGCUCCACUGGAAAUGGAGAGGUCUCUGGUUCGAUACCAGGACCAGGCA